UACGUAGGGGGCGAGCGUUGUCCGGAUUUACUGGGCGUAAAGAGCUCGUAGGCGGUUUGAUAAGUCGGGUGUGAAACCUCCAGGCUUAACCUGGAGUCGCCACUUGAUACUGUCAUGACUAGAAUCCGGUAGGGGACCAUGGAAUUCCUGGUGUAGCGGUGAAAUGCGCAGAUAUCAGGAGGAACACCAGUAGCGAAGGCGGUGGUCUGGGCCGGUAUUGACGCUGAGGAGCGAAAGUGUGGGGAGCGAACAGG
rnacentral:rRNA from 1 species